UACAGAGGUCCCAAGCGUUGUUCGGAUUCAUUGGGCGUAAAGGGUGCGUAGGUGGCACCGUAAGUCGGGUGUGAAAUUUCGGAGCUUAACUCCGAAACUGCAUUCGAUACUGCGGUGCUUGAGGACUGGAGAGGAGACUGGAAUUCAUGGUGUAGCAGUGAAAUGCGUAGAGAUCAUGAGGAAGACCAGUGGCGAAGGCGGGUCUCUGGACAGUUCCUGACACUGAGGCACGAAGGCCAGGGGAGCAAACGGG
rnacentral:rRNA from 1 species